GCUACGGCGCAUCCAUGCGACCCCUCCACUGCGACCGGGGAACAGAAAGCAUAGUCGUUCAAGGAUCCAACAGAAAAAACUGAGAUGGAGGAAGCCAUCCCUUUGAUUGUUCGCCUUGAAGCAAUUACUUAGGGCUCUCAACAAACUGAGGCAUUUCGCUACACUUCUCCGUCUACUGGAAACACAGUUCUGAAUAAAUACAAGUGAAAUUGCA